rnacentral:rRNA from 1 species
CAGCGACGCCGCGUGGGGGAUGAAGGUCUUCGGAUUGUAAACCCCUUUCGGGAGGGAAGAUGGAGCGGGCAAUCGUUCGGACGGUACCUCCAGAAGCAGCCACGGCCAACUUCGUGCCAGCAGCCGCGGUAAUACGAAGGUGGCAAGCGUUGUUCGGAUUCACUGGGCGUACAGGGUGUGUAGGCGGUUUGGUAAGCCUUCUGUUAAAGCUUCGGGCCCAACCCGGAAAGCGCAGAGGGUACUGCCAGGCUAGAGGGUGGGAGAGGAGCGCGGAAUUCCCGGUGUAGCGGUGAAAUGCGUAGAGAUCGGGAGGAAGGCCGGUGGCGAAGGCGGCGCUCUGGAACAUACCUGACGCUGAGACACGAAAGCGUGGGGAGCAAACGGGAUUAGAUACCCUGGUAGUCCACGCCCUAAACUAUGGAUACUAAGUGUCGGCGGUUUACCGCCGGUGCCGCAGCUAACGCAGUAAGUAUCCCGCCUGGGAAGUACGGCCGCAAGGUUGAAACUCAAAGGAAUUGACGG